UACGUAGGUGGCAAGCGUUAUCCGGAAUUAUUGGGCGUAAGCGCGCGCAGGUGGUUUCUUAAGUCUGAUGUGAAAGCCCACGGCUCAACCGUGGAGGGUCAUUGGAAACUGGGGAGACUUGAGUGCAGAAGAGGAAAGUGGAAUUCCAUGUGUAGCGGUGAAAUGCGUAGAGAUAUGGAGGAACACCAGUGGCGAAGGCGACGUUCUGGUCUGUAACUGCACUGAGGCGCGAAAGCG
rnacentral:rRNA from 1 species